rnacentral:rRNA from 1 species
UACGUAGGGACCGAGCGUUGUCCGGAUUCAUUGGGCGUAAAGAGCUCGUAGGCGGCUGUUCAAGUCGAACGUGAAAACUCGGAGCUCAACUCCGAGCCUGCGUUCGAUACUGGACGGCUAGAGUCUGGUAGGGGGAUCUGGAAUUCCUGGUGUAGCGGUGGAAUGCGCAGAUAUCAGGAGAACACCGGUGGCGAAGGCGGGAUCCUGGCC